GACGUAGGGCGCGAGCGUUGUCCGGAUUUAUUGGGCGUAAAGGGCUCGUAGGCGGUUUGUCGCGUCGGGAGUGAAAACACCGGGCUUAACUCGGUGCUUGCUUUCGAUACGGGCAGACUAGAGUGCGGUAGGGGAGACUGGAAUUCCUGGUGUAGCGGUGAAAUGCGCAGAUAUCAGGAGGAACACCGGUGGCGAAGGCGGGUCUCUGGGCCGUAACUGACGCUGAGGAGCGAAAGCGUGGGGAGCGAACAGG
rnacentral:rRNA from 1 species